rnacentral:rRNA from 1 species
ACUCAAAUGAAUAGACGGGGGCCCGCACAAGCGGUGGAGCAUGUGGUUUAAUUCGAAGCAACGCGAAGAACCUUACCAAGGCUUGACAUGGAGAUGAUCGGUAUAGAGAUAUACCUUCCCUGCGGGGCAUCUCACACAGGUGGUGCAUGGUUGUCGUCAGCUCGUGUCGUGAGAUGUUGGGUUAAGUCCCGCAACGAGCGCAACCCUUAUGUUUAGUAGCCAUCGGGUAAAGCUGGGCACACUAGAGAGACUGCCGUGGAUAACACGGAGGAAGGUGGGGACGACGUCAAAUCAUCAUGCCCCUUAUGUCUUGGGCUACACACGUGCUACAAUGGGCGCUACAAAGUGAUGCGAGUCUGCGAGGAUAAGCCAACCACAAAAAAGCGCCCCCAGUUCGGAUUGCAGGCUGCAACCCGCCUGCAUAAAGUUGGAAUCGCUAGUAAUCGCGAAUCAUCAUGUCGCGGUGAAUACGUUCCCGGGCCUUGUACACACCGCCCGU